rnacentral:lncRNA from 1 species
GGCAGUUAACUGUAGCUGGGGAAAGGGGCUCAUGUGUCUUCUUCACCCAUCCCUGAGGAUCUAUUGGCUGUUAAUGCUGACCAGGGAAGGAGAGACGUUUUCUUCAAUAAUAUAAGCUACCGAAAAAAAGAAAAUAACCAUGAAGAUAAACCUAAAGAGGGAAAAGUGUUGCCCCAGUCCCACCAGCUGUGCACGAUCCUGGCUCAGAUCAUGGCAUAUCCAUGCAUUUAUCAUCCAUUCAUGAUUAUCUGCCCAUCCAUUCAUCUCCUGAGUUGCUCAUUCAUGUCUUCACUGAGGAGUCAUUCCCAUCAUUGGCCCAGCUGGAGCUCGGUCCUCGGUGCGGGCUCAUCUUGUUCGGUGGCAGGCAUCCGGGUUGGUGGAUUCUGGUGGACUCGAUCUCUCAGCAUGUUGGCAUCUUUGUGGGACUCGGGACUCUGGGAGCGAGUGAUUUGCCAUGGCUAGACAAGAGACUUGUGUCCCUGUCACAGAUUGAAUUUGGACUUAUAAUGUGAUAGGAAACAUGGAGAAAGGGGAGAGGAUUAGACCUCGAGGUUUCAGGUUCAGCAUGUCCAUGGAAGGGAAGGGACUAUGCGACACAGCUCCUGCCUCUGGAACAGAGCCAACAGGGUGAGGAUUGUCUCCAGUGCUGACGGUUGUUGUAGUCCAGCCGCACCAGGAAGUGGUCUAUCUCAGGACAACUGACAAGGUACAUUCAAGAGGAUGAAAUGAGCGAAGGUAGCCAAAACCUUGUGUGGCAGUGCUGGGGACCCUAAACUAUGUGCAAGUAUUGAUGACUCCAGCUUAGUGGUUGCUAGUACUUGUGCACCAUCAGGAUACCUGGCCUUUCCACCCUCACUGGGACCUAAGCACAUAAAGAGCAUUCAUGGGAAGAUGUCCUCAACCCCAAAGCCAAAGAAAUCCCAAAUGGAAGGAUCCAGUUAAUAUUGAUCCAGAGAUUCUGAAGAGUGGCCUGUGAGAUUCCUUCUGAAGGUCUAGUUGUAAAGGCUUGGAAUGGGCAAACACCUAGUUACAUUGCACAGAGGAGAAAACUGAAGGCUGGAAAUCUGCCAGAGGUUGGAGAUUCAACGAUGGAUGUGCUGGAUGCGGUUGCCAUGGAGUGAAACGGUUAUGGAGGAAGUAGAAAACAAGCAAAGCCACCAGGAAAGAAGAGCACUUGUCAACUGAGCAGACGGAGCAGAUGGGAGGCUGAGGCAGGAAGAGGGCUUUGAGUCUGAAACCAGCCUGGGCCACACAGCAAGUUCCCAGGCAGUCCAGCCUGCAGGAGUUCUGUGACCUGUUCUGCCCACCUGCCUCCACUGAACACUUUGAGGAUAAAACAUCCUAAUUGGCUGCUCUGACGCCCCCUGGGAUGCAUGGAGUCAGGAUUGUAGAAAUGCUCUCUUUGGGAGACAGGAUGAUAGGAUGUGACCAACCACUCCAUGACCAUGCCAUCCUGUUUUCUCCACCAUGAAGGACAGUGGCCCCUCAAAACACAAGCAAAUGGCCUCACCUUCCUCCCACUGCUGCUUCUCGGGUGCUUGGUUACAAGAAAAUUUGUUUUUAGAGUACCAUACUGGACACAAUGUAGAGAUUAACAGACCAGGAGAACCCCAGCCAUAAUGGAUGUAUCUACAUUGUAGCUCCUUCAUCUCUGGCUCCUCCAUAGAGGAGGGAGCAGUGGAGUAUAAGAGCCAGAACACCAGGAAGUCUGCCAUGAAACACUUGUCCUAGAAGAAAUUACUUAAGAACGAGCUGAACAAGGCAUUAUCAGUGGACAUGCUAAUGUGGGAGGAAGAAAUUUUCUUGGAGUCUCACCCCUAGACAAACAAGGAUAGAUAACUAAUGUCUCUGUGAGAAGGAGAGUUAUCCUCUCCAUGGGAGGAACCCAUAAUUGGUUGUUUAAUGCAAAAUGUCCAGCCUUGAAAUUAUAUAUACCCUACCAACAAAAAUGGACUCAUCAUUAUGCAUUUAUAUGUAUUUGUGUAUACAUAUACACACAUACAUACACAAAUAUAUGUAUGUAACAUGAUGAUAAAAGAAAAAGAGGCCAUCAACUUAUGAGUGAGGGAUCAUGGAAGGGAGAAUGGCUGGAAGGAGCUGGAGGGGAGAGAAGAGAAUGAAAGUGACCUAAUUCAACUCAAUUAAAAUCAUUUUUAAAAGGAAAUGAUUACAAAAUUAAAUCAUAAAU